rnacentral:rRNA from 1 species
AGAGUUUGAUCCUGGCUCAGAACGAACGCUGGCGGCGUGCUUAACACAUGCAAGUCGAACGCGAAAGUUUUCUCCGGAAAGCGAGUAGAGUGGCGCACGGGUGAGUAACGCGUAAAUAAUCUACCCUGAUGUCUGGGAUAACCAGCCGAAAGGCUGACUAAUACCGGCUAUAUGGUUAACUGUUGGGUUAACCAGGAAAGGUGGCCUCUUCUUGAAAGCUAUCGCAUUGGGAUGAGUUUGCGUACCAUUAGCUAGUUGGUGGGGUAACGGCCCACCAAGGCGACGAUGGUUAGCGGGUCUGAGAGGAUGAUCCGUCACACUGGCACUGGAACACGGGCCAGACUCCUACGGGAGGCAGCAGUGAGGAAUAUUGCGCAAUGGGGGAAACCCUGACGCAGCGACGCCGCGUGAGUGAGGAAGGCCUUCGGGUCGUAAAGCUCUGUCAGAUGGGAAGAAGUGUAUUGCGGUUAAUACCCGUAGUAUUUGACGGUACCAUCAGAGGAAGCACCGGCUAACUCCGUGCCAGCAGCCGCGGUAAUACGGAGGGUGCGAGCGUUGUUCGGAAUCACUGGGCGUAAAGGGCGCGCAGGCGGUUUGUUUAGUCAGAUGUGAAAGCCCACGGCUUAACCGUGGAAGUGCAUUUGAAACUACCAGACUUGAGUACGGGAGAGGAGGGGGGAAUUCCCGGUGUAGAGGUGAAAUUCGUAGAUAUCGGGAGGAAUACCAGUGGCGAAGGCGCCCCUCUGGACCGAUACUGACGCUGAGACGCGAAAGCGUGGGGAGCAAACAGGAUUAGAUACCCUGGUAGUCCACGCCGUAAACGAUGAGCACUAGGUGUAGCGGGUAUUGACCCCUGCUGUGCCGUA